CGAGCAGGUCUACAUGCCAGCAGCCAUCCCAAAAGUCCCUGGUGCAAUGAAGGUGAUGCACACUGGCUGAGGUGGGAGCCCAGGUCACGCUGAGUGAGAAGCCCCAGGCACACCACCAUCAUAUCUUGCCCACACCACCUGGCCAGGGAGAUGGGGUGUGAAGUGUCCAUACUAGGACCUGAAAGAUGGCAAAGUAUUCCUGGGCAGGAUGGAGCCACUGGAAACUCUGGUGGAGGUCUAGUAGUCCUGAUGUGCAAAUUGAUCAUCUGGCCUGGGUUUUUUUUUUACCACUUUUACCACUAGGGGUAAAAGACUAAUCAAACCUAUCAAUUUUCCCUGG
rnacentral:ncRNA from 1 species